rnacentral:lncRNA from 10 species
UUAUAGUAAUGGUUUAUUGAUAGGUAAUUUGGUUAGUAGAGUUAUAAAUACAAAAAGGGAAAGGUUACCAGAAAUAAGACAUUAUUUCUAACAAAUCUUCAAGAAAAUCUUGAUUAUUAAAGUCCCUUUUAUCUUACAAGUGUUGCAUAUACAGUUUUGGCUCUUCAGAGCCCUCUACCAAUAAGGCACCUGCAAUAGUAGAUAAUUUGCUACCGCAGCCUUAGAGAGCAGUUCUUAGAGGUCUGCUGGUGCUUCUCUUGACAAAGCACACUUUUUUUUUGUUUCCCCCGAGACAGAGUCUUGCUCUGUUGCCCAGAGUCGGAGUGCAAUGGCAUGAUCUCGGCUCACUGCAACCUCUGCCUCCUGGGUUCAAGCAAUUCUCCUGCCUCAGCCUCCCAAGUAGCUGGGAUUACAGGUACCCACCACCACGCCCAGCUAAUUUUUGUAUUUUCAGUAGAGACAGGGUUUCACCAUGUUGGCCAGGCUGGUCUCGAACUCCUAACCUCGUGAUCUGCCUGCCUUGGCCUCCCAAUGUGCUGGGAUUACAGGCGUGAGUCGCCGUGCCCAGCCAACAAAGCGUACUUUAAAAAAAAAAAAUUAUUUUUUAUUUUUUUAAUUUGAGACAGAGUCUCACUCUGUCACCCACGCUGGAGUACAGUGGCAUAAUCUCGGCUCACUGCAACCUCCACCUCCUGGGUUCAAGCGAUUCUCCUGCCUCAGCCUCCCAAGUAGCUGGGAUUAUAAGCAUGCACCAACACACCCAGCUAAUUUUUGUAUUUUUAGUAGAGACAGGGUUUCCUCAUGUUGGCCACGCUAGUCUUGAACUCCUAGCCUCAAUGAGCCGAGAUUGCACCACUGCACUCCAACCUGUGCGACAGAGUGAGACUC